UACGUAGGGUGCGAGCGUUAAUCGGAAUUACUGGGCGUAAAGCGUGCGCAGGCGGCUUUGCAAGCCAGAUGUGAAAUCCCCGGGCUUAACCUGGGAACUGCAUUUGUGACUGCAUGGCUGGAGUGCGGCAGAGGGGGAUGGAAUUCCGCGUGUAGCAGUGAAAUGCGUAGAUAUGCGGAGGAACACCGAUGGCGAAGGCAAUCCCCUGGGCCGGCACUGACGCUCAUGCACGAAAGCGUGGGGAGCAAACAGG
rnacentral:rRNA from 1 species